UCUCAUUUCUUUCGUUUUAGAAAAUCGAAUUAUAGCUACGGUAUAGAAGCACUCGUAUUAUUAUAGGUAAAUAUAUACAGCCACUUUACUCGUAUAUAAUCACGCGAACAGAAUAACGAAAAAUAAAUCAUUUUGAACGCCGGAACAGCUAGUACAUAUAUAAAUAUUAAGCUCGUAAUAUUGUAUAAAAUAAUACGAGCGAGUAUAUAUGACGGAAUAAAUAUGGCUAAUUAAAUUAUGACGUACGCCGAUAAAUUCGAGUCAUUUUUUUUGUCUGUCAUUGUG